rnacentral:tRNA from 1 species
GAGGAUAUACCUUAGUGGUAAGAGUGCGUGCUUAGCAAGCAUGAGGUCCUGGGUUCAAUCCCCAGUAUCUCUA